GUUGCGCUGCCUUACCUGCAAGUCGAACGGCAGCGCGGGGCAACCUGGCGGCGAGUGGCGAACGGGUGAGUAAUAUAUCGGAACGUGCCCUGGAGUGGGGGAUAACGCAGCGAAAGUUGCGCUAAUACCGCAUACGAUCUAAGGAUGAAAGCGGGGGAUUCGCAAGAACCUCGUGCUCCUGGAGCGGCCGAUAUCCGAUUAGCUAGUUGGUGGGGUAAAGGCCUACCAAGGCAUCGAUCAGUAGCUGGUCUGAGAGGACGACCAGCCACACUGGAACUGAGACACGGUCCAGACUCCUACGGGAGGCAGCAGUGGGGAAUUUUGGACAAUGGGCGAAAGCCUGAUCCAGCAAUGCCGCGUGAGUGAAGAAGGCCUUCGGGUUGUAAAGCUCUUUUGUCAGGGAAGAAACGGUUGAGGCUAAUAUCCUUUACUAAUGACGGUACCUGAAGAAUAAGCACCGGCUAACUACGUGCCAGCAGCCGCGGUAAUACGUAGGGUGCAAGCGUUAAUCGGAAUUACUGGGCGUAAAGCGUGCGCAGGCGGUUUUGUAAGUUUGUCGUGAAAGCCCCGGGCUCAACCUGGGAAUUGCGAUGAAGACUGCAAGGCUUGAAUCUGGCAGAGGGGGGUAGAAUUCCACGUGUAGCAGUGAAAUGCGUAGAGAUGUGGAGGAACACCGAUGGCGAAGGCAGCCCCCUGGGUCAAGAUUGACGCUCAUGCACGAAAGCGUGGGGAGCAAACAGGAUUAGAUACCCCUGGUAGUCCACGCCCUA
rnacentral:rRNA from 1 species